rnacentral:hammerhead_ribozyme from 1 species
GCACUACUGAGGUGUUCCAAAAUAGGACGAAACGGCCGUUCAGUGC